GCGAGUCAUUGUAGUAAUACAAGGCAGACGGCUCAGUAACGCGUACUCACCUAACCUAUGGACGGGAAUAACCUCGGGAAACUGAGCAUAAUGCCCGAUAGAACAUUAUGCUUGGAAUGGUUUAUGUUCCAAAUGAUUUAUCGCCGUAGGAUGGGACUGCGGCCUAUCAGUUUGUUGGUGAGGUAAUGGCCCACCAAGACUAUUACAGGUACGGGCUCUGAGAGGAGUAGCCCGGAGAUGGGUACUGAGACACGGACCCAGGCCCUAUGGGGCGCAGCAGGCGAGAAAACUUUGCAAUGUGCGAAAGCACGACAAGGUUAAUCCGAGUGGUUUCUGCUAAAGGAACCUUUUGUCGGUCCUAGAAACACUGAUGAAUAAGGGGUGGGCAAGUUCU
rnacentral:rRNA from 1 species